rnacentral:tRNA from 1 species
ANCGCNGANACUCCUUUAAGAAAGGGUCUAGACCCCACACACGCCACUCGGGUAAGGAAUUGGGCCUAUAGCUCAGCGUGGCUAGAGCACACGACUGAUAAUCGCUGAGGUCAGUGGUUCGAGUCCACUUGGGCCCACCAAAUGGGGCUGUAGCUCAGUUGGGAGAGCACCUGCUUUGCAAGCAGGGGGUCACCGGUUCGAGACCGGUCAGCUCCACCACAGGGAUGGAAGGCCCGCAAAGAGCGCGGGCUGGUCGCUGGGGAAGCGGUAGAGAAGGGAUUUAGGAUGUAGUGUGCAGUGCUGAAUAACGCUUUAGGGAUGUAGGAAGUAAAAGUUAAAGUGCUAUUGAUCACUGCCCACUCGGAAGACUGAGUGCGUUAGUUCGUUCUUUGACAGUUGAGGAAGGGAAGGCCAUGUUUGUCAUCUUGCCGAUGGCAGACCUCCAGGUGGAUGCUUGGGGAUAUAUGGUCAAGUGAAUAAGGGCAUACGGUGGAAUGCCUUGACNNNNNAUNCCNU